rnacentral:piRNA from 1 species
AGAAAGAAUACAUCCAGGCGGGG